AAAUUGAAGAGUUUGAUCAUGGCUCAGAUUGAACGCUGGCGGCAGGCCUAACACAUGCAAGUCGAACGGUAACAGGAAGCAGCUUGCUGCUUUGCUGACGAGUGGCGGACGGGUGAGUAAUGUCUGGGAAACUGCCUGAUGGAGGGGGAUAACUACUGGAAACGGUGGCUAAUACCGCAUAACGUCGCAAGACCAAAGAGGGGGACCUUCGGGCCUCUUGCCAUCAGAUGUGCCCAGAUGGGAUUAGCUGGUUGGUGAGGUAACGGCUCACCAAGGCGACGAUCCCUAGCUGGUCUGAGAGGAUGACCAGCCACACUGGAACUGAGACACGGUCCAGACUC
rnacentral:rRNA from 2 species